UGCAGUCGAACGAUGAUCUCCAGCUUGCUGGGGGGAUUAGUGGCGAACGGGUGAGUAACACGUGAGUAACCUGCCCUUAACUCUGGGAUAAGCCUGGGAAACUGGGUCUAAUACCGGAUAUGACUCCUCAUCGCAUGGUGGGGGGUGGAAAGCUUUAUUGUGGUUUUGGAUGGACUCGCGGCCUAUCAGCUUGUUGGUGAGGUAAUGGCUCACCAAGGCGACGACGGGUAGCCGGCCUGAGAGGGUGACCGGCCACACUGGGACUGAGACACGGCCCAGACUCCUACGGGAGGCAGCAGUGGGGAAUAUUGCACAAUGGGCGCAAGCCUGAUGCAGCGACGCCGCGUGAGGGAUGACGGCCUUCGGGUUGUAAACCUCUUUCAGUAGGGAAGAAGCGAAAGUGACGGUACCUGCAGAAGAAGCGCCGGCUAACUACGUGCCAGCAGCCGCGGUAAUACGUAGGGCGCAAGCGUUAUCCGGAAUUAUUGGGCGUAAAGAGCUCGUAGGCGGUUUGUCGCGUCUGCCGUGAAAGUCCGGGGCUCAACUCCGGAUCUGCGGUGGGUACGGGCAGACUAGAGUGAUGUAGGGGAGACUGGAAUUCCUGGUGUAGCGGUGAAAUGCGCAGAUAUCAGGAGGAACACCGAUGGCGAAGGCAGGUCUCUGGGCAUUAACUGACGCUGAGGAGCGAAAGCAUGGGGAGCGAACAGGAUUAGAUACCCUGGUAGUCCAUGCCGUAAACGUUGGGCACUAGGUGUGGGGGACAUUCCACGUUUUCCGCGCCGUAGCUAACGCAUUAAGUGCCCCGCCUGGGGAGUACGGCCGCAAGGCUAAGACUCAGAGGAAUUGACGGGGGCCCGCACAAGCGCUGGAGCAUGCGGAUUAAUUCGAUGCAACCCCGCAGAACCUUACCUAGGCUUGACAUGGACUGGAAACAUCUUGGAAACAGGUGCCC
rnacentral:rRNA from 1 species